UCGAGAAUCUUCCACAAUGGGCGAAAGCCUGAUGGAGCGACGCUGCGUGCGGGAAGAAGGCCCUCGGGUUGUAAACCGCUGUCGGAGGGGAGGAAGGGCACGUUUGAAGCGUGUCUUGACCGAGCCUCGGAGGAAGCGCGGGCUAAGUACGUGCCAGCAGCCGCGGUAACACGUACUGCGCGAACGUUGUUCGGAAUCACUGGGCAUAAAGGGUGCGUAGGCGGCUGAUCAGGCCUGAAGUGAAAUCCCCCGGCCCAACCGGGGAAUGGCUUUGGGAACCGAUCGGCUAGAGCGGUCUAGGGGUGUGCGGAACUUCCGGUGGAGCGGUGAAAUGUGUUGAGAUCGGAAGGAACGCCGUUGGCGAAAGCGGCACACUGGGGACAGGCUGACGCUGAGGCACGAAAGCCAGGGGAGCGAACGGGAUUAGAUACCCCCGUAGUCC
rnacentral:rRNA from 1 species